rnacentral:rRNA from 2 species
GCCGGUCGCGCGUGUUCUCGUUGGUGGUCGGUGCUUGGGCGAGUUUCAUUAUGGUAACGAGUGGGGGACGGGUGAGUAACACGUGGGUAACCUGCCCUUAAGUGGGGGAUAACAUUUGGAAACAGAUGCUAAUACCGCAUAGAUCCAAGAACCGCAUGGUUCUUGGCUGAAAGAUGGCGUAAGCUAUCGCUUUUGGAUGGACCCGCGGCGUAUUAGCUAGUUGGUGAGGUAACGGCUCACCAAGGCGAUGAUACGUAGCCGAACUGAGAGGUUGAUCGGCCACAUUGGGACUGAGACACGGCCCAAACUCCUACGGGAGGCAGCAGUAGGGAAUCUUCCACAAUGGACGCAAGUCUGAUGGAGCAACGCCGCGUGAGUGAAGAAGGCUUUCGGGUCGUAAAACUCUGUUGUUGGAGAAGAAUGGUCGGCAGAAUAACUGUUGUCGGCGUGACGGUAUCCAACCAGAAAGCCACGGCUAACUACGUGCCACCAGCCGCGGUAAUACGUAGGUGGCAAGCGUUAUCCGGAUUUAUUGGGCGUAAAGCGAGCGCAGGCGGUUUUUUAAGUCUGAUGUGAAAGCCCUCGGCUUAACCGAGGAAGCGCAUCGGAAAACUGGGAAACUUUGAGUGCAGAAGAGGACAGUGGAACUCCAUGUGUAGCGGUGAAAUGCGUAGAUAUAUGGAAGAACACCAGUGGCGAACGCGGCUGUCUGGUCUGUAACUGACGCUGAG